UACAGAGGGUGCGAGCGUUAAUCGGAAUUACUGGGCGUAAAGCGCACGUAGGCGGCUUUGCAAGUCGGGUGUGAAAUCCCCGGGCUCAACCUGGGAACUGCAUCCGAGACUGCUUUGCUCGAGUAUGGGAGAGGGAAGUGGAAUUCCUAGUGUAGAGGUGAAAUUCGUAGAUAUUAGGAAGAACACCAGUGGCGAAGGCGGCUCACUGGUCCGGUACUGACGCUGAGGUGCGAAAGCGUGGGGAGCAAACAGG
rnacentral:rRNA from 1 species